CCCACAGCGGGUUUGUUCAGUCCGGUGAUAAAGGAUCUCCCCAGUUCAUCAGUUUCCAUCCGCGGUUCCCCAAAGGAGCUUUACUCACUGUGGGUUGGUCGACAGGUCGAAUCUCCAACAUUCCCUUUUACUUUGUCUCCUCUCAGUCCUAUCCCCCCCUCCACCCCCCAACCUGCUCCCCCCCCUGGGCAUCUGUUCCCCCCGUAGCCCCGGCGACCUCUUCUCAGAGCUGUGACCCCUUCACCCCCUCCACACGCUCUCCUGUUCCCUUCUCCCCUCCCCCUCCCCUCUCCCUCUCCUUCCCUCCAUUCCCCCUCUCCCCACAGCCUCACCUCUCACCCCUCCCCCUCUCCCCCCCCUACUCUCCCCUCUCUUCCGCCCCGUAGUCACUGCGACUUCUCAGACCUGUAGCUCUCUCCCCUCCCUCUCCUCACCCUCCUCUCCUCUCUCCCCCUCCUGUUCCCCCUCCUCCCUCAACACCCCCCUUCCUUCCUCCCUCCCCCCAUGACCUCUUCUCAGAUCUGUGCCCCCCCCCUCGAGCCGGAGAGGAGACGAACGUGAAAUAAAAAUCUUCAGUGACUCAUA